rnacentral:rRNA from 1 species
AGUGAACGCUGGCGGUAGGCCUAACACAUGCAAGUCGAACGGCAGCACAGUAAGAGCUUGCUCUUACGGGUGGCGAGUGGCGGACGGGUGAGGAAUACAUCGGAAUCUACUUUUUCGUGGGGGAUAACGUAGGGAAACUUACGCUAAUACCGCAUACGACCUACGGGCGAAAGCAGGGGAUCUUCGGACCUUGCGCGAUUGAAUGAGCCGAUGUCGGAUUAGCUAGUUGGCGGGGUAAAGGCCCACCAAGGCGACGAUCCGUAGCUGGUCUGAGAGGAUGAUCAGCCACACUGGAACUGAGACACGGUCCAGACUCCUACUGGAGGCAGCAGUGGGGAAUAUUGGACAAUGGGCGCAAGCCUGAUCCAGCCAUACCGCGUGGGUGAAGAAGGCCUUCGGGUUGUAAAGCCCUUUUGUUGGGAAAGAAAAGCAGCAGGUUAAUACCCCGCUGUUCUGACGGUACCCAAAGAAUAAGCACCGGCUAACUUCGUG